AUGACUGAGAGAGGAGACUGGACUGCACAUUCCUUUCUACUACCGAACCCAAGGAGAAGCCAGCAGGCAAGGGGACCAGAAGCCAGCAAGGCUCCAGAUGGGGAAUGCUCCAGAAGCGCAGAAGAAAGGUCUUCCAGCAGACCACAGCUGGCUGUCCGGCCCAGUGCCCUCCACAGAUCUGAGAGCAGCUUCAGAUCUCAAAAGUUUGUCCUUUUUCUUUGGCUUCAGAGCAUGUGGGAACUUGGUGGGAACAUGAGAGCCUUGGGCUGUGUGCUUCUCUUUUAGAUGCCUAGAGCCUACAUACAUGCACCUGGUGAAUGUCUGUAUGAGGGGUGCGUGUGUGUGUGUCUC
rnacentral:lncRNA from 12 species